rnacentral:rRNA from 1 species
ACGUAGACAAUCAGGAGGUUGGCUUAGAAGCAGCAAUUCCUUAAAAAAGUGCGUAAUAGCUUACUGAUCAAGUGCCUUUGCGCCGAAAAUGAAUGGGACUAAGUAAAUUGCCGAAGCCGUAGAAUUUAAAUUAUUGGUAGGAGAGCGUUCUGCUUGGAGGAAGCAAGAGUGUGAACCAUUGUUGACAACGCAGAAGUGAGAAUGUCGGCUUAAGUAACGAAAAUAUUGGUGGGAAUCCAAUGCUCCGAAAACUCAAGGGUUCCUUCGCUAGGUUCGUCCACGAGGGGUUAGUCAGACUCUAAGGCUUAGUUAAUUUACGAUGCCGAUGAAGAACGGGUUAAUAUUCCUGUACUAUAAAUUAUAUAGUUGGUGUUAAGAGUGACGAAGGAAACUACACUAGCCAAAUUUGGUUUUUGGUUUAAUAUUCUAACAUGUUGAAAGUUAUUAUAAAAAAUAUCUUGAGUGAAGGAAUAGAAUGCGAUAUAAUGCUAUGGCGUUAGAAGUAGUUAGGUUAUGCUUCCAAGAAAAACUUUUGCAACAUUUUAAAAUGGUUUAUAUCUGUACCUUAAACUGACAAAGGUGAGUUGGUUUAAUAUACCCAGGAGCGCGAGAUAACUCUUUCUAAGGAACUCGGCAAAAUAACUCUGUAACUUCGGGAGAAAGAGUGCCCUUAAUUAAUUUUAAGGGUUGCAGUGAAUUGAUCCAUGCGACUGUUUAACAAAAACACAGGUCUCUGUUAAGUCGAAAGACAAUAUAUGGGGGCUGAGGCCUGCCCAGUGCCGGAAGGUUAAUGAAGUUGGUUAGUAUUAUGCGAAGCUGAUGACUUAAGCCCUGGUGAACGGCGGCAGUAACUAUAACUGUCCUAAGGUAGCGAAAUUCCUUGUCAGGUAAGUUCUGACCCGCACAAAAGGCGUCACGAUAUGGAUACUGUCUCAGAAAGAGACUCGGUGAAAUAGAAUUGACUGUGAAGAUGCGGUCUAUUUCCACUUGGACAGAAAGACCCUAUGAAGCUUUACUAUAGCUUAAAAUUGUUUGUGAUUUCUUUUUGCGCAGUAUAGGUGGGAGACGUUGAUAUUUUUCUUUUGGGAAUUAGGGAGUCGAACUUUGAGAUACCACUCUUUAAGAAGUUGGAAACUAAUGAUAUUUUUAUAUAUUUGACAUUUUUAGGUGGGUAGUUUUACUGGGGCGGUAGCCUCCUGCGUUUAGUUUGAGUGUCAUGCAAAGAGAAGGUUACAAAUAAAAGAAGUAAUUAAUUUAUUAUUUUUAAUUAAUAUAUAGUUUUAACUUUUAGUUUUUAUUUGUAAAGAAGAAAAUGUAUAUGGUUGAUCGAAAUUAAACUGUCGUUGGUAAUCAUUUUUAUCAAUAAGGUUGAGAUACAUGAAAAUAAAAGAGUCGAUUUAUUUUACUUUAAUUUAUCAGUAUUUUAGAAAUCAUAUAAAAAUAGAGGAGGUUCUUUAUGUUUUUAUAAUUGAGAAAUGUUUUUAGACAGGACCUAUUUACAUUAUAUAUAAACUUAAAGUUUAUAUAAAUUUAAGGCUUUUGUAUGAUAUAACUUAAUAGUAUUUAUGUUUACAAUGAUAAUCAAUAAAUUAAAAAAAGUAAAUGAGAGCUGUAUAGUUGGAUAACUACUAUGUACAGUUUAGUAGCGAGGCUCGAAGUAAGUAAUUUUCUAUCAUGCUAUCAUGUCCUUAGCUCUUAAAUAGUAACGGAGGCGUACAAAGGUUUCUUCAAUCUGGUCGGAAAUCAGGUGUAGAGUGUAAAGAUAUAAGGAAGCUUGACUGUAAGACAAAUAAGUCGAGCAGAGAUGAAAAUCGGUCUUAGUGAUCCGACAGUACUGAGUGGAAAGGCUGUCGCUAAACAGAUAAAAGUUACUCUAGGGAUAACAGGCUGAUCUCCCCCAAGAGUCCACAUCGACGGGGAGGUUUGGCACCUCGAUGUCGGCUCAUCGCAUCCUGGGGCAGUAGUAUGUCCCAAG